GUUAUGGCUCAGUGGUAGCGCACUUGCCUAGCAUGUGUGAGGCACUGGGUUCAAUUCUCAGCAUCACA
rnacentral:tRNA from 1 species